rnacentral:lncRNA from 1 species
UAUUUGGCUGCACACAUGCAAGAGCCAAGAGGGGUACUGCUGCAACCGGGGCACAACGUUAUCGAAGCAUAAAUACGAGAAUACAUGGUGGAUAUGUGCCUAUGUCGUAGAUAAUUAAUGAGUAUCAAGGUGAGAUUAUGGAGCUUUGAUUGGUUUCGUUCUACCGUGAUUUGGAAAAACAAGGUGUUGAGUUAGUAUGUCUUGUGCAACAUGUUUCUUAGCUCGUAGAUGUGCAAUUGUUAAUAAGUUGGUGAAAAUCUUUGAGCAGGGCACCUUCGAUUGAUUCUUGUGCUCAACCUUGGUGCUAUGAUCUCAAGGGAACAUGUUUAAGCUUUGCCACUUAGCUCGUCACGAAGGUGAUUCCUGGAUCGCGGCCGGCUUCAGGAGUUUGGCGCCACUGUUCGCGUUUGGCGCUUGACGUUGCACUGCUUUCUUAGUCGCACAUUUGUUUGCCACUUAGUACAAUCCUCUAAGCUCCACCGUCCAAGCCGGUGUCUUGUGUAAGUGUUCCCCUCGCUGUUGGCCCAUGGCAGCUCGCCGUCAAGCCACGCCGGACGUGUAAUUUGUAUCUAAACUCCCCUUAACGAAG